rnacentral:rRNA from 1 species
GAUGAACGCUGGCGGCGUGCCUAAUACAUGCAAGUCGAGCGAACAGAUGAGGAGCUUGCUCCUCUGACGUUAGCGGCGGACGGGUGAGUAACACGUGGAUAACCUACCUAUAAGACUGGGAUAACUUCAGGAAACCGGAGCUAAUACCGGAUAAUAUAUUGAACCGCAUGGUUCAAUAGUGAAAGACGGUUUUGCUGUCACUUAUAGAUGGAUCCGCGGCGCAUUAGCUAGUUGGUAAGGUAACGGCUUACCAAGGCAACGAUGCGUAGCCGACCUGGGAGGGUGAUCGGCCACACUGGGACUGAGACACGGUCCAGACUCCUACGGGAGGCAGCAGUAGGGAACCUUCCGCAAUGGGCGAAAUCCUGACGGAGCAACGCAGCGUUAGUGAUGAAGGUCUUCGGAUCGUAAAACUCUGUUAUUAGUGAAGAACAAAUGUGUAAGUAACUAUGCACGUCUUGACGGUACCUAAUCAGAAAGCCACGGCUAACUACGUG